UACAGAGGUCUCGAGCGUUGUUCGGAUUCAUUGGGCGUAAAGCGUGCGCAGGCGGUUUUGUAAGCCAGAUGUGAAAUCCCCGGGCUUAACCUGGGAAUGGCAUUUGGGACUGCAAGGCUCGAGUGCGGCAGAGGAGACUGGAAUUCCUGGUGUAGCAGUGAAAUGCGUAGAUAUCAGGAGGAACACCGAAGGCGAAGGCAGGUCUCUGGGCUGACACUGACGCUCAUGCACGAAAGCGUGGGGAGCAAACAGG
rnacentral:rRNA from 1 species